rnacentral:rRNA from 1 species
CCUACGGGAGGCAGCAGUGGGGAAUAUUGGACAAUGGGGGGAACCCUGAUCCAGCCAUGCCGCGUGUGUGAAGAAGGCCCUCGGGUUGUAAAGCACUUUCAGUGAGGAAGAACGCCUGGUGGUUAAUACCCAUCAGGAAAGACAUCACUCACAGAAGAAGCACCGGCUAACUCCGUGCCAGCAGCCGCGGUAAUACGGAGGGUGCGAGCGUUAAUCGGAAUUACUGGGCGUAAAGCGCGCGUAGGUGGCUUGAUAAGCCGGUUGUGAAAGCCCCGGGCUCAACCUGGGAACAGCAUCCGGAACUGUCAAGCUAGAGUGCAGGAGAGGAAGGUAGAAUUCCCGGUGGAGCGGUGAAAUGCGUAGAGAUCGGGAGGAAUACCAGUGGCGAAGGCGGCCUUCUGGACCGACACUGACACUGAGGUGCGAAAGCGUGGGUAGCAAACAGGAUUAGAUACCCCAGUAGUC